rnacentral:rRNA from 1 species
UACGGAGGGAGCUAGCGUUGUUCGGAAUUACUGGGCGUAAAGCGCGCGUAGGCGGCUUUGUAAGUUAGAGGUGAAAGCCCGGAGCUCAACUCCGGAACUGCCUUUAAGACUGCAUCGCUUGAAUCCAGGAGAGGUGAGUGGAAUUCCGAGUGUAGAGGUGAAAUUCGUAGAUAUUCGGAAGAACACCAGUGGCGAAGGCGGCUCACUGGACUGGUAUUGACGCUGAGGUGCGAAAGCGUGGGGAGCAAACAGG